GCUAUGUACGGAAUGGAUAAGCGCUGAAAGCAUCUAAGCGCGAAGCCAACUUCAAGAUAAGAUUUCCCACCGCAAGGGUAAGACCCCAGAAAGACUAUCUGGUUGAUAGGUCGAAGGUGUAAGUGCAGCAAUGUAUUUAGCUUAUCGAUACUAAUAGGUCGAGGACUUGACCAA
rnacentral:rRNA from 1 species